rnacentral:lncRNA from 10 species
GGCAACCCACUCCAGUCCCCUUCUGCACUGUGGAAGCUUUGUUCUUUUGCUCUUUGCAAUAAAUCUUGCUACUGCUCACUCUUUGCGUCCACACUGCCUUUAUGAGCUGUAACACUCACUGCGAAGGUCUGCAGCUUCACUCCUGAAGCCAGCCAGACUACGAACCCACCGGGAGGAACGAACAACUCCAGAUGCGCCACCUUAAGAGCUGUAACACUCACCGCGAAGGUCCCGCAGCUUCACUCCUGAGCCAGCAAGACCACGAACCCACCAGAAGGAAGAAACUCCGAACACAUCUGAACAUCAGAAGGAACAAACUCUGGACACACUGCCUUUAAGAACUGUAAUACUCACCGUGAGGGCCCGCGGCUUCAUUCUUGAAGUCAGUGAGACCAAGAACCCACCAAUUCCAGACACAGUGGGAUCACAGAGAGAGCCAACAGUCCAGGCCAUGACAAGCUGGCACCCAGCUCUGCUUCACAUGAUCAAACUGCAUCACGGAAGCUGCACACGAUGACACCCUGUCUGGAAAGUUUUUGCCAGAGGGCAAAAGACUGCAAGCAGAAUAUCCCUUUGCCAUUUCUCAUUCAGGACUGGCCGUUGUCUGAAAGCAAACCUCAAGGACAGGACUUCUGGACUCCGCAGCCACUUCAGGCUGCUGCUCCAUCGCAUGAAUUCCAGCAGGUGGCGCUGCACCCCGCGCGGACCCGGCUUGCCUCUCGGCCCCAGGGAGGUCGGUUGAUGAGCAGUCGGGAAGUGGGUCUGCGCGCACCCCGCUGCAGCUGUGGCAAACGCAAACGAUGACACACAGGCUUGACGAGGGCCUUUGUCAGAAGCAAUGGGGAUCUGGCGUCACCGCACAAUGGAAAACAAAGUGCUUCUGCCUGGCUGGCCAGAAUGCACGUUUGCUCACUAUUGAUGCUGGGGCAUUUACAGGCAGAAUGAGUUCAUGUGAAAUUUCAGGAUCUGCCAUGACUCAGAUUCACUUUCUGUAAACCAGAGUCAACAUUACAUUUCCCUUUACUCUGGGCCAUUCCUUGAAUUUUUAGGUCACCAGUUGUUUUUGUACUAACUGAAGGGAUUUGAGUAUUUCACAAGCACCUUAUUUUUAUUAGCAUUUUUAGGGCAUUACCAAUUUGGGACGGAUCUGUAGUGUGAGAGAUUGUUGUCACUCUUAGCUCCAAACAUAGGUUGACUUUAUAUAUUAUUUACAUGUUCAGAAUUAUACUGUGUAGAAAUUCAAAUGAAACUUGCAAAAUACUUUUCUGGCAGGAAGCCCUGGAGAGGAUCGUUCAUGGAAACAAGGAUGACGACUGGGGUAAGAAAUGCAGGUGACUCGUGAGUGGUCAGGGAGUGGAAGAGAAGACGGCUGGAAGGUUUUAGCAUUCAGAAAAAAAAUGGAGACAACUAGAGUUGAUCUGAAGAUUAUGGCAGAAUUCAAUAUUGGGGGAAAGAAACAAGAUGGGGGUUAGAAAUUAGAAACAGCAGAGCUCCACAGGUUGGAAAGGUUGGAAAGGAUUUGAGCAAGAGAACAAGGAGCCUGCUAAUAGCACCCUGGGUUUACAUCAAGAGAAGCACCUGGAGAGAAUUAACUCGGGAGGAGGUGGGGGCAUGGGAAACCUUUUCAUCUCCAAGAGCGGGCAGGAACAGCAGCUGGCCUGAACUUGAAGGUACACCAGGUAGCUUGCGUGGGCCAGGAGAAGGUGAUUCUCUUCUAUGCCUCUCUCCAACGCCCUGCUUCUGAUGCUGCUCCUCUACCUGUAUUGAGGGGAAGAUACAUCCCUAAGAAGUUCCCUGAACCCCAUUCUUUGUUGUGGCUAACUGGUCCCCUUGGAAUUUUUCUACUAAUUUUCAAUUCCCCCUCUCACCUGGUGAAAUCUUGAAUCUUACUGUUCAAUAAAAGUUCUUCUACCGAA